rnacentral:rRNA from 1 species
UGCCUUUUAAAUGAGGGCCUGUAUGAAUGGCAUAACGAGGGCUUAACUGUCUCCUCUCCCUAGUCAAUGAAAUUGAUCUCCCCGUGCAGAAGCGGGGAUAAAAACAUAAGACGAGAAGACCCUGUGGAGCUUUAGACCAUAAAUAGACCAUGUCAAGGACAACAACAAAUUACUCAAACAAAUUGGCUACUGUUUUUAUGUCUUUGGUUGGGGCGACCGCGGGAAAAUAAGAAUCUCCCAUGAGGAUAGAGAAAACCCUAUUCUUAUAGCCAAGAGCUUCCCCUCUAAGUAACAGAACAUCUGACCUUUAUGAUCCGGCCUGGCCGAUCAACGGACCGAGUUACCCCAGGGAUAACAGCGCAAUCCUCUUUUAGAGUCCAUAUCGACAAGGGGGUUUACGACCUCGAUGUUGGAUCAGGACAUCCUAAUGGUGCAGCCGCUAUUAAGGGUUUGUUUGUUCAACAAUUAAAGU